rnacentral:rRNA from 1 species
GGAACGUGGGGGGGGCCAGCGUUGCUCGGAAUUACUGGGUGUAAAGGGUUCGUAGGCGGUGUGGCAAGUCGGGAGUGAAAUCUCUGGGCUUAACCCAGAGACUGCUUCCGAAACUGCUGUGCUUGAGUGUGGGAGAGGCGCGUGGAAUUGCAGGUGUAGCGGUGAAAUGCGUAGAUAUCUGCAGGAACACCCGUGGCGAAAGCGGCGCGCUGGACCACUACUGACGCUGAGGAACGAAAGCUAGGGGAGCAAACAGG